UGUGCACCGUGGUCAAAUGCUCAGACUCCUGUGGUGGCUGCUCAUGCACCACGGAUUUUUGAGCAUGUGCUACGGUGUCUA
rnacentral:pre_miRNA from 1 species